AGGAUACAUGAGCCUAUUUUGCUGGGCUGUGGAGGUACAUCACACCAAAAAAGGCUUGGUGACCACUGAUUGUUCUGUAGAGUGUUUCUCUGUGUAUUGUGCCCUCUAGUGGCUGCCUGGUGCUGUGUCUGUGCCUGUCUGUGGUCACCCUGCUGUUACAGAGCCUGUGGGUGCCACUGGAGAUGACCAGAGAUGAUCCUGCAGGGAGCUCACCCGAGGAUCUGGGUCAGCGUGGGCUUAGCUUUCGUAACCUGGCUCUUCGCUUGGAGGCUUUGAAUACUCAGGUACAGAGGCUGAGCAGAGAGAAAGAUGGCUCCAAGCUGAUCAGAAAUGAUCUCACUUUGCUGCUGCAAAGCUUCAGACAGGACCAGCAAGGUUUGGCUCGUUUAGUAGAAAGAGAGCUGAAAAGAGUAUCGCAGAGGCUUGAUCAGCUCAGCCGUCACCCCCAACACCACCAUCAGGCUGAAGCUCCAACACCACUUGUUAGCCGUAGAUCACACACAGAUAAUGCUUUUUGUUUCAGACACAUCUCCUCAUUAGCCAAUCAUCACCUACACACUUCAAAAGCUGUCUGCCAAUUUAGGAGGGUCCAACGAGAAGUGUCAAGUGCCAGUG
ensembl:lncRNA